AUGCCAAAGUCUCUUGUAGUUUCUCUAGCAACAGCUGGAGCAAUCUUGCUGCCACUUUCAGUCAUUCUUCUUCUUUGGAUAUUUUGCAAGAAGCUCAAACCAAGCCAGAAGACAUUAGCACACAAUGCAACUGUUGAUGACCAUUACAAGAGAAUCCCAUAUCAUGCAUUAUUGAGGGGAACCAAUGGAUUUUCAAUAGCCAACUUGCUUGGGAGAGGAAGUUAUGGUGCAGUUUAUAAGUGUGUUUUGGACACUGAAGAUAGAGCAUUUGCUGUCAAGGUAUUUAAUCUUGGUCAAUCUAGGUAUUCCAAGAGUUUUGAGGUUGAAUGUGAGGCCAUGAGAAGGAUACGACACCGUUGUCUCAUUAAGAUCAUUACUUCUUGUUCGAGUGUCAACCACCAAGGUCAAGAGUUCAAGGCAUUAGUUUUUGAGUUCAUGCCCAAUGGUAACUUGGAUGGUUGGCUUCAUCCAAAAUCUCAAGAACUCACUACAAACAACACGCUUAGCCUUGCACAGAGGCUUGAUAUUGCUGCUAAUAUUGUGGACGCAAUAGAAUAUCUGCACAACUACUGUCAACCAUCGGUAAUCCAUUGCGAUCUUAAGCCGAGCAACAUUCUUCUUGCUGGAGACAUGAGUGCACGAGUUGGAGACUUUGGCAUAUCAAGGAUCCUUCAAGAAAAUACAAGCGAGGGGAUGCAAAGUUCAUAUAGCUCAACUGGAAUUAGGGGUUCCAUAGGCUAUGUUGCUCCAGAGUAUGGAGAAGGCUCUGCGGUCUCAACAGCCGGUGAUAUUUAUAGCCUUGGCAUACUGCUACUUGAGAUGUUUACCGGAAGGAGCCCAACAGAAGGAACAUUCAGAGAUUCAUUGGGUCUGCAUAAGUUUGUUGAGGAUGCUCUUCCAGAUAGAAGCUUGGAGAUAGCUGACCCAACAAUGUGGCUGCACAACGGACAACCUGAUAACAGUACAAGUAUUAGAAUCCAGGAGUUACUGGUUUCAGUCUUCAGGCUUGGCAUAUCCUGCUCAAAGCAACAACCUCGAGACCGAGCACUAACUAGAGAGGCAGCGGAAGAGAUGCAUGACAUAAGAGAUGCGUACCUCAAGUUUAUAGGGGAACAUGGAGCAGAAAAAGAAGCCCCGACUCGAGAAAUCCAGAAUAGCCUUGAAUAA
rnacentral:rRNA from 1 species